ensembl:scaRNA
GGCCUCUCUCCCAUGGGGCUGUGUGGGUCCCUUUUCUCUUCAGCCGGGGUUGGAGGCCAAGAUCAGCUCUCAAGGAUCAUUGUCGGGGCUGUCAUGACCUAAUAACCUUAUUUUCCUGCCUCAGACAUCU